CACGUAGGGUGCGAGCGUUGUCCGGAAUUAUUGGGCGUAAAGAGCUCGUAGGCGGUGUGUCGCGUCGGCCGUGAAAACCUGCAGCUUAACUGUGGGCUUGCGGUCGAUACGGGCAUCACUGGAGUUCGGCAGGGGAGACUGGAAUUCCUGGUGUAGCGGUGAAAUGCGCAGAUAUCAGGAGGGAACACCCGGGUGGCGAAAGGCGGGUCUCUGGGC
rnacentral:rRNA from 1 species